UUCACAACUAAACAAAGAAAUAUGGAUAACCUAGUGCGUUUGAGCCACAAUAUGACUUUCAAUGCAAAUGUGGUCUAAUCCAUGAAUGAGUAACAGCAAAUGGUUACUUAGGAAAACACAAUAAUAUAAAUAUAAAAACAGGUAUUGUAACUACCAUUAAGCAGAAAAUAAUUAGGAUAAAGUAAACAUUGUGUUAGCGAAACCUAACUGUUAAAUAUAAAAAAUAUGUAGUUUGUACACGCUUGUAACAUGAAUAAGUGAAUAACGUUCGCAAAUUUCACAUCAUGGGACGAACCGGUCUCUCUUAUGACCCAACCAGACCACGGACCAUAUUUGGAACUUCCUUCACGUUCGCUCUUUACGUUCGUACGUUCGGGAGCCGAUUCGGAUGGCGCCAGUCGACAGAGAAAACUACACCUCCUGGCCUGUUGGUGGACACAGUUGACAUUUAUUUUAAACAGAGAGCUGCACCUGUCACUCUGAGGAGGAUGAUGGAGCAAAGCAAAGAACAACAAGCAACUGCCUUAAGCUUAGACAACACAGAUGUGUUGUGUGAUUCACUGGUGUGCAUAGAGGAAGCUGCUGUGUCUCCUCGUUGUUUCGCUGCAGCUGAUUUUAUUUUAGAAAUCCUGUAUUGA
rnacentral:lncRNA from 1 species